rnacentral:pre_miRNA from 1 species
CUGCUACUCCCUCCGUUCGAAAUUACUUGUCGCGGAAAUGGAUAUAUCUAGAUGUAUUUUAAUUUUAGAUACAUCUAUUUCCAAGACAAGUAAUUCCGAACGGAUGGAGUACUUC